GAACGCUAGCGGCAGGCUUAACACAUGCAAGUCGAGGGCAGCGCGGGAGUAGCAAUACUUCUGGCGGCGACCGGCGGAAGGGUGCGUAACGCGUGAGCAACAUUCCCGCAUCUGGGGGAUAAGCGCUGGAAACGGCGUCUAAUACCCCAUAACAACAGGAUUCACAUGGAUUUUGUUCGAAAGCUGCGACGGAUGCGGAUUGGCUCGCGUGACAUUAGCUAGUCGGCGGGGUAACGGCCCACCGAGGCGACGAUGUCUAGGGGUUCUGAGAGGAAGGUCCCCCACACUGGAACUGAGACACGGUCCAGACUCCUACGGGAGGCAGCAGUGAGGAAUAUUGGUCAAUGGGCGGAAGCCUGAACCAGCCAUGCCGCGUGAAGGAAUGAGGCCCUAUGGGUCGUAAACCUCUUUUGUGGCGGAGCAAUAAGGUGUACGCGUACACCGAUGAGAGUACGUCACGAAUAAGCAUCGGCUAACUCCGUGCCAGCAGCCGCGGUAAUACGGAGGAUGCAAGCGUUAUCCGGAUUUAUUGGGUUUAAAGGGUGCGUAGGCUGUGUCGUAAGUCAGGGGUGAAAGCCCGGGGCCCAACCCCGGAACUGCCCUUGAUACUGCGGCGCUGGAGUUCGGAUGCCGUGGGAGGAAUGAGUAGUGUAGCGGUGAAAUGCAUAGAUAUUACUCAGAACACCGAUUGCGAAGGCAUCUCACGAACCCGACACUGACGCUGAGGCACGAAAGCGUGGGGAUCGAACAGGAUUAGAUACCCUGGAAGUCCACGCAGUAAACGAUGAUGACUAACUGUCGGCGAUAAACAGUCGGUGGCCAAGCGA
rnacentral:rRNA from 1 species